rnacentral:rRNA from 1 species
UGGGGAAUAUUGCGCAAUGGGCGAAAGCCUGACGCAGCGACGCCGCGUGAGGGAUGAAGGUCUUCGGAUCGUAAACCUCUGUCAGGAGGGAAGAAGUGUAGAGAUGCUAAUCAGUCUCUAUUUGACGGUACCUCCAAAGGAAGCACCGGCUAACUCCGUGCCAGCAGCCGCGGUAAUACGGAGGGUGCAAGCGUUAAUCGGAAUCACUGGGCGUAAAGCGCGCGUAGGCGGCUUUUUAAGUCAGGGGUGAAAGCCCACCGCUCAACGGUGGAACUGCCUUUGAUACUGAAAGGCUUGAGAAUGAGAGAGGAUAGCAGAAUUCCAAGUGUAGGAGUGAAAUCCGUAGAUAUUUGGAGGAAUACCGGUGGCGAAGGCGGCUAUCUGGCUCAUUACUGACGCUGAGGUGCGAAAGCGUGGGGAGCAAACA